rnacentral:rRNA from 1 species
GAUGAACGCUGGCGGCGUGCCUAAUACAUGCAAGUCGAACGCAUUGUGGUUGAAAUGAUAUGAAGAACUUGUUCAGAUUUGAUUUUCAACAUUGCAAUGAGUGGCGAACGGGUGAGUAACACGUGGGAAACCUACCUCUUAGCAGGGGAUAACAUUUGGAAACAAAUGCUAAUACCGUAUAAUAAUUAAAACCGCAUGGUUUUAGUUUAAAAGAUGGUCUUGCUAUCACUAAGAGAUGGUCCCGCGGUGUAUUAGUUAGUUGGUGAGGUAAUGGCUCACCAAGACAAUGAUACAUAGCCGAGUUGAGAGACUGACGGCCACAAUGGGACUGAGACACGGCCCACUACUCCUACGGAGGCAGCAGUAGGGAA